CUUUUUCUUUCACCGGAGCUUGCUCCACCGAAAGAAAAGGAGUGGCGAACGGGUGAGUAACACGUGGGUAACCUGCCCAUCAGAAGGGGAUAACACUUGGAAACAGGUGCUAAUACCGUAUAACAGUAGAAACCGCAUGGUUUCUAUUUGAAAGGCGCUUUUGCGUCACUGAUGGAUGGACCCGCGGUGCAUUAGCUAGUUGGUGAGGUAACGGCUCACCAAGGCAACGAUGCAUAGCCGACCUGAGAGGGUGAUCGGCCACAUUGGGACUGAGACACGGCCCAAACUCCUACGGGAGGCAGCAGUAGGGAAUCUUCGGCAAUGGACGAAAGUCUGACCGAGCAACGCCGCGUGAGUGAAGAAGGUUUUCGGAUCGUAAAACUCUGUUGUUAGAGAAGAACAAGGAUGAGAGUAAAACGUUCAUCCCUUGACGGUAUCUAACCAGAAAGCCACGGCUAACUACGUGCCAG
rnacentral:rRNA from 1 species